GAGGCCUGCAAGUCCUGCUGGGUUAGGUAUUUUCACAGGAAGAAAAGCAAGAAGUGUUUUUAAAGAUCUUUUAAAGAAAAACUUGAUCCUGCAAAAGAAAGCAGGGGGUCCAAAAUAUGAAGUCAGUGAGAACUUUGCAAGGGGAGGAGUCUCCAGGUGGAGUGUAAUCUUCUGACCUGCUCUUUGGGUUUGGGACCUCAUUGCAUCUACAGCAGUAAUGAAAGGCUGUUUCAGCUGACCAGUUGGAAUAUACAUGGAGAAUGUGCAUGUGGUAAGGAGAUCUGCAUUCAAUUACUAUCUUACCACAGACUGGCUGCAGACAAGACAAUUCUUCUAUGCCUCAGUUCCCUA